GUAUGGUGCAAGCGUUAUCCGGAUUUACUGGAUGUAAAGGGAGCGUAGACGGAUGGGCAAGUCUGAUGUGAAAACCCGGGGCUCAACCCCGGGACUGCAUUGGAAACUGUUCAUCUAGAGUGCUGGAGAGGUAAGUGGAAUUCCUAGUGUAGCGGUGAAAUGCGUAGAUAUUAGGAGGAACACCAGUGGCGAAGGCGGCUUACUGGACAGUAACUGACGUUGAGGCUCGAAAGCGUGGGGAGCAAACAGGAUUAGAUACCCUGGUAGUCCACGCCGUAAACGAUGACUACUAGGUGUCGGGUGGCAAAGCCAUUCGGUGCCGCAGCAAACGCAAUAAGUAGUCCACCUGGGGAGUACGUUCGCAAGAAUG
rnacentral:rRNA from 1 species